UGUCUGUGUCCUUCACUGUAUUAAGGACUCCAUGCACAUUACCAAUAAAUCUUCAUAGCAGCCCUAUGACAUGCACUCUACUUACUGUGCCUGUUUUACAGAUGGGGGAAGUGAAGAUUAGGGAAGUUAAACGGCUGGCUGAAGAUCACAUAGCUAGUAAUUAUGGAGCUGGGACUGAACCCAGGCCUAACUCAUUUGAGAGCAUAACAAAUACCUAAGAUAAACAGCUUCUAACUUGCCCAGAUGACCAUGGGAAAUGAGGAAAAAUUGGAAACUAAGGAUAACUAUGUUGUUCCUGGUCUGAGUGACGUGGGGAAUGAAGAUCUGAUUAUCAAGGUCCUGGGUUUAUCCUAAGGCUGUUUCACACCAAAGCUCUACAGGAAGGACACCAAGUAGCAAAAAAAUGCAUGUCAAAUGGGAGAAACAAAGUAGUUUUCCUUGGCUCUGUGUUAUGAGCUGGAUCUAAAUACUCCAGAAUCAAGGAAGCUAUAAUGCCUGCUCUUCUUCUAAAGCUCAAAGCCGAAUUUCAGAACUCACCUAAGAAUGAAACACAAAGCCUCUCAUGCCCACAUCAGACAUGAAGAGAGAUUGUGUCCUUCAAAGGCAAAAUCUGGAAGGAAAUUUGGGGCCAUCAGGAAUAACUCUCCAAAUCCCAAGAUCAGCAAGCCCAGUAAUAUUUUAUCAGUACAUCUGGACAUGAGCAGAAACCUCCAUCUACUAAUGUUUGACAACCGUGGAUGGAUGUACAGGCCGUCAAACAAAGGGAAGCUUUGCUGGGGUCAUCAGUGACAAAGGGAUGAAAUCUGAUAACAUGACAGAUUUUGUAAUUCUGACAAACAAGGAACUUACGAAGUCAGUAGAAGGAAGGCAAAUGGGAACAGAGAUCACUCCGGCCUCCACUUUGAUCAUUCUGUAAAUAUUUUGGUCUGUGUUUCAUGUGUUAGAUUCUCUCUAUACCCAGAAGGCAAGAAGACAUUUUACAAUAUUAAAUCUUGCUCAUGGCAAAUAUCAAAAUCAUGGUAAUUGAUUUAGAAUCUAUAGAGAAAAGGCUAACUUUUCUUUUUGGUAAUUUUUCUCAAAAUUAAAUUGACUCAUCUAU
rnacentral:lncRNA from 1 species